CAGCUAUCCUCAUGCCUGGUCCCUGCUGCUCUGGAUCCCAACCCAUGGACUGACCCUGGACCCGACCUGCAGAUUGACUUCAUGGCUUGGCUUUGAACCUGUCUGCUUGCUGCGGACUUGAUGCUUGAUCUGGGCUCUUGGUUGAACCUGACCAUCCUCCUCAGCCUGCCCUGCUCAGCCUGCAGGCAGAUGGAAACGCGGUGGUGCCGAGGGCAAGGAACAGCUCUGCAGCUGGCCAUCCCCAAAGUCUCAAUGAGAUGGGCAGGUGCUGGGGGACCUGAGGCAGGUUUCCUUCCCAGCUUCCCCACAGAGUGAUGCUGUUCAUCUGCUGAGAGUGUUCCGCGACCAGGGCUUGCUGGUGGAAAGAGAGAUUUAGCCGAUUCUCUGCCCUGCUCUUCACACCUUCCCAUGGUGGGACUUUGUCCUCGCUGACCCUCCGUGCCCAAUAAAGCAUGAUAGUGUGCUGAUGCUCGAGGUUGGACCCCGGGAAGGGCAGACCAUUUAGUUGUCAAAUAAAGCCAGUUUCAUGACGCUGCACCGACAUGCUCACAAGCACCGAGGCAGGAGGUCCAAGCGGUCUGCACUGGGCUCCUUGCGAUGACACUGAGGACAAGGGAUGCUGCCUACAGAGUCCUCCUCAUGUUGCUUGGAGUCCUCAGGCUGAUUUGGGAUUUAUGUCCCCUUUAGGAGCUUUUUGUCCCUGUCCUAGCCCACCUGUGAGUCAAUGCAGUCGCUUCCCCUGCCCUUCGCA